AGGACCACUGUGAAUUUGCAAGGACUGUGCAAACUGCAUGUCUGGCUCCAUGCUAGAUCAAGAGACAACUUAUAUGUGUGCAGAAGAUGAGACAAUUUAAAUUGUGCCGAGAAGACUCUUUGGGGGAAUGUGACCAGUCACUGAGAGUGUGCUCUUCAUGACAACCCCUAUAGCCAUGACCCUUCGAAGACUGCACAACAAAAAUGCAUUUUUGACUAAUGCAAACCUUACAGUUUCAAUGCCAAGUCAUCUUUCCACCCUCCACUUUGCUUAACUUCCAACCUGAUGAAUGGUUCUGAUUGCUGCAAUAUUUCUUGGAUGGAUUUUAUAACAGAAGAAUCUGAAGCAUAUGUAUUUGGAUUAAAUACAGCUGGAGAAUUGCAUAUGGGAUGGAAAAAAUCUACCUACAUUCCAGACACCAUGACCCUGAGCCUCUUAUCUGAGAGGAAACCAUCAUGAAGCAAGCACACGUAGCAUUGCCCAGAUGCAAAUGAUGGCUUUGUCUCCGUCAACAUGAAGAUGAUGUUCCUUUCCACAUACUGUGCAUUAUGGGGAAGCCAUGCAUCCAUAUAGCUACUGUUAACAGGAACUGACAUUACGGACUGCCCAGUCUUGUGAAAGUCUGGAAGAGUGAACUCUGUGUUUUUCAAACUGCUGCUUUCUUUACCAAACUUCCCAUGAAUUUUCCAUUAUGACUAUAAUGGAUGGGGGGUUUUCCCCCAGAAAGAAACUCAUAACAGUACAUGCAAAAUAUUUGUUUCACGUUCAGCCCUGCCAGGAGCUGACUGCUUGCUGUGAGAUCAAGUCUUCAGCAUCAAAUUCUGAAACGGAGGCAUUCUUAUACUGCGGACAAGCUGCAGGGAGGAUUGGUUCUUUGUCUCUUGAGGGCAGCCUUAUAUUUAAGCAUUAGCUUAGUCACCAUGGGUGACAAGGGCUUGCGGGCAGGUGAGUGAAUGGGCCAGCAGAGGAGGGAAGGAGUGCUCCACCCCUCCUCUCUGCCCAGCAUAAAAACCAAGGAGGCGGCCAGAAGAGGGAAGACCCCUCCUCUGCACCCAGCAUAGAAAUGCAGCAGUUCUCCGUCCUCCUCUGCCAGUCCCCAAGAGGCCAGUAACUUUUUUUGGCAGAUAUUUAUUUAUUUAUUUACAGCAUUCAUGCCCCUUCCAUUUAGCCAAAAAGGCUUUCAGAGCAGCUUUUCAGAAAAACAAAAUGAAGACAUUGCCCUCAAGGUCACAAUCUACAAAGACACAACAAAUGAGGAAAAAGGAAUGGGAUGGAGGAAGGAAAAGCAAGCUCAAGCACAAGUUCUUAAAGCUAUAGUUCUUAAAGUGACAACUGAUGUCAGUGGUAAUUCUGGCUGUCUCACCCUUGAUAAAGAGUACUCUUCCCCCCCCCCGAUCAGAUUUAGGGCACAGAUGGUGACAAAGUCCAAGCCAGAAAGACAGGGCAAUUCCAGUUCUUCCUGCAGAUAGCUGAUUUCAUGGCAGUUAAGAUCCCCAUAGAAGGGGGCUUGAUGCAGCCACCCUCCUCUUUCACCGAUAUAAAUAAUCUUUUUGGACUUAUUUACAAGGCUGGUUUAGGGUGAGGCUAGAGCUUGAGUGAUAAAGAUGGCCGCUUGCCUAGGCACUUAUGUGUAGACAUUAUAAUUAAAUAGGACCUCCAUAUUCAGAGGCAGUAUACCUUUGAAUACCAGAUGCUGAGGAAAAACAAUAGGCCAAGGAUACUGCCUUUAUGCCCUAUUUGUAAAUCCAAGUAUGGGAGUCUUAAGGGGAGGGGGAAUUGCCCCAGACAUCACACAUGGAGGGAGGCAACUUCAAUAUUAGCAA